CAAGCCUACCAUCACGGUUGCUGUGUUAUCGAGUUACUUUGGAUUUCGGUUACUUGGACAAAUAAAAAAACACGUAUUCCCAUAUAAGUGUAGACCAAAACAGAACAGCAGAUCUUGAUGUUAUUAAGCAAGCAUGGGUAUGCUACGUGAAAACCAGAGCAAAAUUGUCUACCAUAAUGCUGAAUCAUGAAUGUGCCUUUUAGUCACAUAUUCUGCUGAAAAAAUGCAUCUCCGUUGCUCGAAAAUUAUGGAAUCACAUGUAUAGUACAGAUUUAUUCAGACCGUGGAUGAUGAAUGCUUCUGUCAUGCAUAUUUCAGUAUACCUCCUCAGGAGAUGGAGGUUGUUUGGGAGAUUUUGAUGACUCUACCUGACCCUACAAAGUGAGUGUCAUGAUUGUUCUUCAAGGCUGCCCUGCACAAAUUUUACUCCACAAAUUUUAGAUAGGUGUAGACCAAAACAGAACAGCAAGUUUUCAAGGCUGCCAUGCACAAACAAAAGUUCAUUCAUGCCUGUGAAUGAUUGAUGCUUCUGUAUCAUGCAUAUCUCGGUGUGUGUGGAAGUAGUUGUGAUUGUGAAAUUCUAAGUACCAUACCAUGCACUGUCAUUAGAAGCCUUCCCUCAGCAGAUGGAGAGAGGAAAUUGACGACCCAACAUGAGCGAGACUGAGAGAGCGUCGUGAUUGUUCUUCAGAAUUAAACUGCACCAACGCCUAUCAAAAAUUAUGGAAUGAGACUGAACGAGACUUUGCUUCCGGAAGAAAAACUGCGAUGACAGGGGCCAGGCCUACAACACAUUCAACGCGGAUCAUCUAUUUUUGUUCUUGGUAAUAUGUUUGUUUGUUUGUGUUAACCCGUUGGCUGCCACGCCUUUGUUCUCCCUUGUAUUAGCUCCUUAGCACGGGCCCACGCUGUCUGGUCUCAUGGUUUACAUGCCGUGGGGUCGGGCAGUCGUACCAGCCCCAGAUUUCGCCGAAAGGCCCUGUUAGGCAAUGCACCAUAGGGACUUCCCCCUUGUCGAUACGGUGACGGAUUCUAGAGGUUGUGCAUUCCAUCU